rnacentral:rRNA from 1 species
CUUUUUUAUAGACUGGAUUUAUAUAUUUAUAACUAAAAUUAGGUUAAAUUUUUUUUUUACAGAGUUAAAUAUUUAGAUUGAUGAAAGAUGUAUAAUAGUGACAGGGAUUAGAUACCCCAUUAAUGUACAUUGUAGCUUUGUCUUAGUUAAUAUAACUAAAAUAAUUUGGCAGUGAGCGACUCUUUUUAGGGGAAGGUGUGGUGUAAAGGAUGUUCCGCCUAAUAAUUUACUUUCGUUAUGUUGGUGUAUAUCUGGUUUAAUAUUAUCGUUGAGUAAGUGAGUUUGUGUAGUUUUAUUUAAGCCAAGUCUAUGUGCUGCUUAUGGAAGUAUUCAUGCGUUACAUUUAUAAGGUUUUGGUUGUAAUACUAAAAUAUUUAGGACUUAAAAGUAAUGUUCAAUAAGUUUGUGAGUGUGAAGUAAGUUUAGCUCAUGUACACACCGCCCGUCACCCUCGAUGCAUAUUGAGGUAAGUCGUAACAAGGUAAUU